CCUACGGGUGGCUGCAGUGGGGAAUAUUGGACAAUGGGCGAAAGCCUGAUCCAGCCAUGCCGCGUGUGUGAAGAAGGCCUUCGGGUUGUAAAGCACUUUCAGUGGGGAAGAAAGCCUUGGGGCUAAUACCCUCGAGGAAGGACAUCACCCACAGAAGAAGCACCGGCUAACUCCGUGCCAGCAGCCGCGGUAAUACGGAGGGUGCGAGCGUUAAUCGGAAUUACUGGGCGUAAAGCGCGCGUAGGCGGUCUGAUAAGCCGGUUGUGAAAGCCCCGGGCUCAACCUGGGAACGGCAUCCGGAACUGUCAGGCUAGAGUGCAGGAGAGGAAGGUAGAAUUCCCGGUGUAGCGGUGAAAUGCGUAGAGAUCGGGAGGAAUACCAGUGGCGAAGGCGGCCUUCUGGACUGACACUGACGCUGAGGUGCGAAAGCGUGGGUAGCAAACAGGAUUAGAACCCCUGUAGUC
rnacentral:rRNA from 1 species